GGCGAAUGAACCUAGAUAUGCUCAAUUUGAAAAAUACAGUGAUACUGUUUGACAUGUAAUUUCAAAAUGUACAACCAAUUGGCAUGCAAGUGGAAGCUCAUUGAAAGAAUGCGUCGAAGAAGGUGAAAAUCCAUUUUGCCACUUGUAAUGUUGUUGUUUAUGGUGUAUAUUUCAGGAGUCACAUUCCUUGGCAUUGGAAUGCAAUGUGGGUGGUAAACUUCAUGCAAAGAUUAAUAUGUGUUUGAGAUUGAUAGUACACAAAUACCGUGAGGGAAAUAUGAAAAGGACUUUGAAAAGAGAUUUAAAAGAGUUUGCAGUUGCUGAACAAAAAACAAAUAGGAUGUCCACGAUUGAGCAGAUUGUUGAACCUCGGUUUGCUUCAAUUGCUAGCAUGUGUGUAUUCAAUGAUUCUAUCUUUGUCUACCAUACCAUUCUCAGCGUAUCAUGACACUUGCAGGUGCUUCGUGUUUUUGCUUGCGAGCUAAUGACAACACCUGCUUGAGAAUGGUAUGCCAAGUGUUCAUUGUGCUUAGAGUCUGCAUGGUGCUAUUGUUAAGCUGCAGGUUUGAACUUGUGCUUUGAGCUGUGCUCU
rnacentral:rRNA from 1 species